UAGCCGUAAACGAUACUCGCUAGGUGUCGGCCACGGUGCGACCGUUGUCGGUGCCGUAGGGAAGCCGUGAAGCGAGCCACCUGGGAAGUACGGCCGCAAGGCUGAAACUUAAAGGAAUUGGCGGGGGAGCACCACAACGGGUGGAGCUUGCGGUUUAAUUGGAUUCAACGCCGGACAACUCACCAGGAGCGACGGUUACAUGAAGGCCAGGCUGAUGACCUUGCCUGAUUUUCCGAGAGGUGGUGCAUGGCGUAGUCGUGU
rnacentral:rRNA from 1 species